rnacentral:misc_RNA from 1 species
UCGUAACAAGGUCUCCGUUGGUGAACCAGCGGAGGGAUCAUUACAGAGUUGCAAAACUCCCACAAACCAUCGCGAAUCUUACCCGUACGGUUGCCUCGGCGCUGGCGGUCCGGAAAGGCCCUCGGGUCCUCCCGGAUCCUCGGGUCUCCCGCUCGCGGGAGGCUGCCCGCCGGAGUGCCGAAACUAAACUCUUGAUAUUUUAUGUCUCUCUGAGUAAACUUUUAAAUAAGUCAAAACUUUCAACAACGGAUCUCUUGGUUCUGGCAUCGAUGAAGAACGCAGCGAAAUGCGAUAAGUAAUGUGAAUUGCAGAAUUCAGUGAAUCAUCGAAUCUUUGAACGCACAUUGCGCUCGCCAGUAUUCUGGCGAGCAUGCCUGUUCGAGCGUCAUUUCAACCAUCAAGCUCUGCUUGCGUUGGGGAUCCGCGGCUGCCCGCGGUCCCUCAAAAUCAGUGGCGGGCUCGCUAGUCACACCGAGCGUAGUAACUCUACAUCGCUAUGGUCGUGCGGCGGGUUCUUGCCGUAAAACCCCCCAUUUCUAAGGUUGACCUCGGAUCAGGUAGGAAUACCCGCUGAACUUAAGCAUAUCAAUAA